rnacentral:lncRNA from 1 species
UUCUAUCCUUGUCAGCGUCGUUGCGCACCAGCUCGAAUGUCUCCGACUGCCCCGGUGUGGAGGCUGUGGCCCCCACAUUAACGCCGGCAACGGUCACGAACUGGUUGCUGAACACCUUGAAGUUGAACGUGUUCUUGUCGAUCCUCCAGAGUUUGAAGGUCUCCCAGCUGGAGGCCGACGCCCGGUUGGCGACAAGUGUCGCCCCACCGCCAUUCUCGGCGGCCACGAACGCGUUCUGUGUCACGGACCUGAACUGCAGUUGUGUGCCAUCCUGCUCCAUUGAUCGAGACCAACAUAAAUUAAGCAAGAGUUGAUGAACAUGACAUGACAACCAGAUGAAGGAAACAUCUUGGUGAAUUAUUUUCUUACCAGGAGGUCUUUGUUGGGGAUGUUGUCGAAGCGGGAGGGCAGGUCCUUGACGAUGGUCACCACAAACACAGUGGGGUCGUCGUCGCCCCAUGUCGUCGCCUUCUCGCGGAAGUCGGCCGUCACCGAACCAUCUUUGUUUGCCUGUCGUGCCAGCAAUUAAUGAAGAUGUGUAACAUUGAUGACUCUUGGAAGGUUUUUUUUCAUGAAAGAUAACCUUCAAUGCAACUCAUGGUUGUAACAGUCAUUGUCAAUGAAAGAGUAGGCAACUUUGCCACUUAUCCAUGGUGCAAUUAAUGAAUGGAGAGGUCAACUACUCCCUUCGUCAUGGUUUAGAAGGCAUACACGUGUACACGUGUAUUUAGGUCAUCAGUUUGACUUAUAUAAAUUAUAUUAUUUAACGUAAAAAUUAUAUUAUUAUAAAUCUAAUGAUAUAAUUUUUACGUUAAUUAAUAUAUUUUAUAUAAAUGAAAUUAACGACUUAGAUACACGUGCAUUCCUUCUAAACUGUGACAGAGGGAGUAGUACUACUGGGUGGAGUAUUAAGUUAAUUUACCUGUAAGAGGGACCCAUUGGGUGCUCUGAUCCUCAUUCUAUUCGGGUCAGCAUCGUUGCGCACCAGCUGGAACGACUGAACUGGUGUGGUGGCGGUGGCCACGACAUUAACGCCGGCGACGGUGACGAACUGGUUGCUAAACACCUUGAAGUUGAAGGUGUUCUGGUUGAUCCGAUAGAGCUUGAAGGUCUCCCAUCCUGAGGCCAAGGGACGGUUGGCGAUCAGCGCCGCCCCGCCGCCAUUCUCGGCAGCCAGGAACGCGUUCUGCGUCACGGACUUGAACUGCAGCUGUGUGCCAUCC